rnacentral:rRNA from 1 species
CGGGGCUAAUACCGGAUAACAUUUUGAACUGCAUGGUUCGAAAUUGAAAGGCGGCUUCGGCUGUCACUUAUGGAUGGACCCGCGUCGCAUUAGCUAGUUGGUGAGGUAACGGCUCACCAAGGCAACGAUGCGUAGCCGACCUGAGAGGGUGAUCGGCCACACUGGGACUGAGACACGGCCCAG